CUCCAGAGUCGUCCCCUCCCCUCCGGAGACAUCUCGCAGAGCAAAGGUCCCGGCCCGGCCCGGAAUUGCGACACCGAGCCCCAGCCUGCUUUCCCAGUCUUCCUCCGCCUUCCCUGCCUCGGGAAGGGGCUGAGCAGCUCUCCCCACCAUCUCCAGGCAGGAGAUCUCCAGGGGUGGAGACGGGCAGAGAACACUGAGCUCAGGGCGGAGCCUUUUCCGGGACCACACACAGUCAGUGGCUGAGCUGGGAUCGGAAUCCAGAUGUCCUCACUCAAGUCCCCGUCCUCUUUCUCCUGCGUCAGAGUCCGGGAUGCCUCUCAGGGGUCCUGGAGACUAAGGACUGGGACAUGUUCCCCAAGCCAGGGCCAGCAGUCAGUUAUCUGCAGCGGGCAUCACUUCUCACUUUGCCAGACCCCCAAACCUAUCUACCAGUCUCCAGGAGGUGUCAGGUGCAAGGCCUCCCCUUCCCGAGGGGGCUUUCCUGUGUGCUUCCUCCACCCCGAGAGGAGGCAUCCUGCCUGGGAGCUCCAUUUAAGAUCUUCCAGCUCCCCACAACCUGCAGAGGGAAUCUGAAGCCAAGACAGGCACAUCCCCCAGCCCGUGGUCACAUGCACCACUAGAUAACUCCCCUCAAAGCGCUCCCGUGAAGCAGGCCACAGGGUACAC
ensembl:lncRNA